rnacentral:misc_RNA from 1 species
CAACCCCUCAAGCCUAGCUUGGUCUUGGGGCGCGCCCUGAGGGGCAGCCCUGAAAUGCAGUGGCGGUGCCGUCCGGCUCUACGCGUAGUUAUUUCUCUCGCGACAGGGUGGUGACGGGACCUGCCAGAAUACCCAUCUUAACA